rnacentral:snRNA from 1 species
UGCUCACUUUGUCGGGCCGUAUUCUGAAGUUGGGACAGUACAGAGAAGAUUAGCAUGGCCCCCUGGGUAAGGAUAAUAUGCAAAUUCAUGAAGUGUUUCAUAUUUUA